AAACAGUUGGUUGCCAUUGACUUCCAUAGUAUUUUUUUUUCCUACUAUGGAAUUCAAUGGCAACCACCAACUGUUUGAUUACCAGCAAUCUUCAAAAUAUCUUCUUUUGUGUUCAACAUAAGAAAGCAACUCAUACAGGUUUGGAACGGCAUGAGGGUGAGUAAAGGAUGACAGAAUUUUCAUUUUUGGGUGAACUAUCCCUUUAAAGGAGCUUCUCAAAAGUGCUUAACAGUGUUAUACAUGUCAAAUUAAAACAGGAAUACAGAAUAAACAAGAGAGCACAGGAAGAUAAAACAAACAAGAGACCGCAAUAUGAUUUUAGAUGAGUUGCCAAGAGACUGUGCUUCCCGAAUUUCAACUUCGAUUUCAGCUGUUGACCCACCGAUUGUCUAUUAUUCCUUUAAUAUCACUAAAGGUCUUCUUCUUGGUUCUCCUUCCAGCAUGGGCCCAGGCAGUCGCCGCUCUGAUGAUCAUAGGCCUCAUCAUCCUCAUCAUCGCCUUCAUCAUCUCAUUUGUGGCUCUCUGCUGUAGCCUCAAAAUCACUCUGCUGCCUUUAAUCGGAGGCUUCCUUAUUUUGGCUGUUUCAUUAUGAAACAUAAGCUAGCCUGAUCUGAUAACUCAGCGUGCUCCCUGUGUGAACUAUAUGCCUGUAUCAGCAGUACUCCUUCAGUUUGAGGUGGAGUUUAUGACGGCGCUGUUGCUGGAAGCGUCAGACGCAGCCCUGUGUGAAAUUUCCCUACACACCCAAACAGGGCUUGGCCUUCGCUGGCAUGUCUGUGCAACACUCGCAGAUUCGCCCGGCUCGCCCACAGAGCUUUAAGCUACUGAUUAAACAUUUUUAUGGACCAACACAAGUCUGUAUUAGGUGCUGUUCAUAAAACACUUGUUGUUGGACACCACAGGAAUACUUAGCCAUCUAUUUUUCUUGAUUUUUCAGAGCACCUUUUUGUUGGCCAAAAACAUAUUUCAUCCACACAAAAUGUGUGAAUGUCAUUGCAUAAGACAAGAAAAUAUAUCAAAGCGCAUGGCUACAUUGUUUUCAAAUGCCUCAAGGAGGACAUUUAAUAAAAAAUAGGAUUGUUUGCUUUGAAAUCAGAGUUACCCUGUUGAAAAAAACAGCAUAUGCUGGUUAGGUAUGUUUUGACGCUGAGAUGCUGGUUUAAGGUGGUCCUUUGCUUGUUUAUGCUGGUCCUUUGCCAGCACAUGACCAGCAUAAACCAGCAAAAGGACCAGCAUAAACCAGCAAAGGACCAGCAUAAACCAGCAGAAGGACAGAAGGACCAGCUUAAACCAGCAAAGGACCAUCUUAAACCAGCAGAAGGACCAGUUUAAACCAGCAGAAGGACCAUCUUAAACCAGCAGAAGGACCAGCUUAAACCAGCAGUAAAAGUCAGUGCUCGCCGAUCUCCAAAAGCAUCGUCAUCUUCCCAAACCAAACACAGCACCAUACCGGCUUUGAUGAGGACUGUCCGUGCCCUUUUAUCUAACUUUUGGGACUGAUGCAAUUAACUUUUAAUAAUUUUUUUAUUAAUAAUAAUCAUUCACAAACAGACUGGGCUUUGAUGUUUUUGUUUAUGUCACUCAGCACAGAUUGAACUCCACAAAGCAUUAUUCCAAAUCUCCAUAUUAGACCAUUUACAUUACAGUGCCCUUCACAUAUUACAUGCAAAUAUAAUUAAUUCCAGUAAGUAAUCACAUUAAUACAGCUCAUGUAGUUUGCUUAAGAAUUUACACUGUAACAUGAACACUGCGAUUUAAAGUGUGACUGAGUUUGGUUAUUUCUAUAUUUCUUGAACAUCUCUACAUAUAUCAGCAUUAAGAAAAUAUUUUUAUGACGUAAGUGUAUUUUUACAUUAAUGUGUCAUUCCAUGUCAGCCUGUUCUUGUUUCUCACAGUAGCGGCUGCGCAUGCUUGAUAGCACACUUCCCUAAAGUGCUCUUACUGGCAGCGAGGAGCUUUGUGUUUGGCUGGCCAAAGUGAACUAAGAGGGUUUUUUUCCUAAUCGUGAGCUUGGAUUUAUAGUAAAAUUGGUGAGCAAGUGGAUACAAAUACCAAACACAGCAACCUGAUUUUCAUGAUAUUGAAAAAUCUUGAUGCAUUCAUGCCUUGAUCAUUUAAUUUCAAUUAGUCAGUUUGAUGUGUGUGUGGGAAAAAUGUAUAAAAGUACUUGGCUUGUAAACUUUGCAAAAUUGUAGUGUGUUUUUUUUUUAUAGUAUUUUACUAGAUUAUAUUGUUUUGUUUUGUUUUCAUUUCGCCAUUCUUUUGUGAUAUGAAUACCAAUCUUCAAUAAAAGGGAGCCUUGCUGUUAAGACACCAAUCAAAACAGUUUUUUUGUUUUCUUUUUUGUGAUCUUGCUGCUCUAUUAAUUUAAUCCCACCGGUCACAAUAGUGACCGUAAAAAGGUUGUCAUUUAUAAAGCUCUAAAAUCCUUUCUGACUGAUUUUUUUAGUGCACUUCCUGCAAAUAUGAAAAAUAAACGGUCUCAAUCAAUUAUGUGCAGUUUCACGUGAUUAGUGCAAAUUGUCACAUGACCAGAGCAGUUUACUUCAUGUUUGCACCUUGAGAAGAUGAUGGCUGCAUCAAAGCUCCAAAGUAUGUUAACAUGAAGAUUGUUUUACACAUUAGCAGAAUAAAUACAUGGUGUCUAGUAUUAAUAUAUGAAUUCGCAUAUAUUCAGUUUUGUUGAGUGUGGUCAUAGAAUGAGUAAACAUCUUGAUGGUCACAAUAGUGGGA
rnacentral:lncRNA from 1 species